rnacentral:rRNA from 1 species
CGUAGGCAGCGAGCGUUGUUCGGAGUUACUGGGCGUAAAGGGUGCGUAGGCGGCCUAUUAAGUUUGUCGUGAAAUCUCCCGGCUCAACUGGGAGGGUGCGGCGGAUACUGAUGGGCUUGGAGUGCGGGAGAGGAGAGUGGAAUUCCUGGUGUAGCGGUGAAAUGCGUAGAUAUCAGGAGGAACACCGGCGGUGUAGACGGCUCUCUGGACCGUAACUGACGCUGAGGCACGAAAGCGUGGGUAGCAAACAGGAUUAGAUACCCUGGUAGUCCACGCCCUAAACGAUGCGCAUUUGGUGUGGGCAGUUCAUUCUGUCCGUGCCGGAGCUAACGCGUUAAAUGCGCCGCCUGGGGAGUACAGUCGCAAGGCUG